rnacentral:tRNA from 1 species
ACGCCCAUAGCUCAGCUGGAUAGAGCGAGUGGCUACGGACCACUAGGUCGGGGGUUCGAAUCCUCCUGGGCGUA